AUCACGGUAGACUGAGCCAGAUCUGUGACUAGAUUUAAUCAAAUUUCAUUCAGUGCUGCAGUUUAACUAAUAGAUACUCAAACAUUGAAUGAUUGAAAUAAUAUGCUCUUCUCCUAACUGUACUAAGCCAAUAGUAAUCUCUGGCCCAGAUAUCUAAUCAUUGGUCACUAUGAGACAUGUACCCUUACCUAACUAUCACCACAUGAUUUGGCUGGUCAGAAAAUUAGUUAGAACUUGAGCUAUAUAAUCCUGGUCAGUAGAGGAUAUUAUUAUAUGCAAGCAUCUUAUAUUGCCAAGGUUUCAUGUCAUGUAAUCUUCUGCAGAUGAUAUAACAAUCUUAUACUAUCGGUGUGCAAAUUUGAAGCGUUAUUUAGAUGCACAUUAAUCGUUAAUGCAGGAGUGGGAAUUUUCAGUUUUCAGGUAUGUACUUUACCAGGAAACCAAUAGGCCAAGAUAGAAGAGCUAUAACAUUGCCCCCAGUUCAGCCUCUCUGUACCAGCAUACUUGUUUAAACAUUCAUCCAUCAGAGCUUGGAUAAGAACUGUUAUCCCAAUAAUUCCUAUAAACGUUUUGCUCUUUUGUAUCCCCUCAAAUAUAUUCUUGUUUUCUAGAUUCCUCCCAUUGAAUGCGAGGAAUCUAGAAAACAAGAAUAUAUUUGAGGGGAUACAAAAGAGCAAGACGUUUAUAGGAAUUAUUGAGAUCACGGUUAUUAUCCAAGCUCUGAUGGUUGAAUGUUUAAACAAGUAUGCUGGUACAGAUAGGUUGAACUGGGGGCAAUUGAAGAGCUUGCUGGUGAGUUUGCCUGUUUAAAUAUGGAUGAAGACUUGGAUGGUCGACGAAAAUAUAAAGUCUGGAAAGCUCUGCUUCAAGUUUUAUAUUCCUGGAUUAGUUUUUUUUUUUUUUGCAAUAUGUAACUGGACUACUAAAUACCUUUGUCAUUUUUCAUAAUCAGACUUAUUGUAUCAACUACUAGCUUAUAACCCGUGCAAGGCACGGGAGCUUUUUAAUUAUUUAUAAACUUUUUAAAUAUA